rnacentral:rRNA from 1 species
CCUACGGGGGGCUGCAGUGGGGAAUAUUGGACAAUGGGGGGAACCCUGAUCCAGCCAUGCCGCGUGUGUGAAGAAGGCCCUCGGGUUGUAAAGCACUUUCAGUGAGGAAGAACGCCUGGUGGUUAAUACCCAUCAGGAAAGACAUCACUCACAGAAGAAGCACCGGCUAACUCCGUGCCAGCAGCCGCGGUAAUACGGAGGGUGCGAGCGUUAAUCGGAAUUACUGGGCGUAAAGCGCGCGUAGGUGGCUUGAUAAGCCGGUUGUGAAAGCCCCGGGCUCAACCUGGGAACGGCAUCCGGAACUGUCAAGGUAGAGUGCAGGAGAGGAAGGUAGAAUUCCCGGUGUAGCGGUGAAAUGCGUAGAGAUCGGGAGGAAUACCAGUGGCGAAGGCGGCCUUCUGGACUGACACUGACACUGAGGUGCGAAAGCGUGGGUAGCAAACAGGAUUAGAUACCCCUGUAGUC